rnacentral:lncRNA from 1 species
AACUGAAAUGUCCUCGAACCUGUUCGUUUCUAGCUAGAACCACCGUGGAGGAUGUCUGCCAUGGCAUGACAGGCUGGGCAGUCGGAGACAAAAGGGCUCCUUCCUGGAACUUCUGUGGGUAACAGUGCCUGUAGUUGGGCACUUUUGAUUCUGUAAAACUAGAGCCUUUCUGGGAGAUUGGUGGCAGAGGAGAGGCAGGGGCUGGGAGGAGGAGCUCUCUGGGACGUCCAGGGCAAGUGAUGUGAGCCUGAUGAGGCGCAGGCCUGGGUAUCAGCCUUGACUGGAUCUCAGUUACAUGGCAUAACAGGAAGGUGAUGCUGCUGGGCCAGGACAGGGCUCCUGAAGGAAUCUUUGUGGCCUCCUGACUUGACCUUUGAAAGUGAAUUCUGCUUGGCAAAUGACAUUGGCCACAAAGCUGCUACCGUCACAGGCUGAACCCUGAUCUGGCCUCUCCAUCAGGCCAUCCACAUGGUGGCUCUUACCUCUAGAUGAAAGACCGUUGUCACUCGGAGUCCCUUCCCACCCCUGCCAGGGGCUGAUACCACUGACUGUUGGCAGCAGCUCUGAAGCUGGCAGAUGGCACACGUCUGCCUCAGAAGGGUUCCCAGUUCCGUUGACAGCUCCCCUAGGAUACCACUGAUGUUCUUAAGAGGGGCUGUGAAAUUCUCAGAUAAUUCUCAAAAUAAAAAUUUUAAUACAUUUUCAUUUAAAAAUAAUAAGUGCUAGACAGAACCAGAAAGUUGGUUGCAGAUGGAAGUCAGGCAGUGAAGCCAGUCAUCAUGGACCACCGCACCUGGGAGGGUGGGCGAGAUCCCUAUCCUCACAGCCACCCUUUAGGUGCCAGAUCCCCAGAUCCAGCGGUGGGGACCACCCCCCCAGACCCCAUCACACUCCUGUGAUUUGGGGACCUGAGCUCUAAACUCCCUGAAGACAGAGCCUGUCCUUUGUGACUGUUGAGACCUGUUUAUUGCAGAGCAGAGGGGCGCAGGGACCCCAGACAUAAAUAUGCCGAUGCCCUCCUCCUCCUCCCCUGGCACUCCCCCUCCUUCUCUGCCCCACUCCACUGACAUCCCUCUCUUGUCCCCUCCUCCUUUCUCCCCACAGCUCCUUCCUGGCUCAGCCUGCCCCUUGCAAUCUUUCUUCCCAUAGAACCCUUCCUUCUGUCUUCUUUCCCCUCCUUUAAAGUAGGAGAAACAAGGAUUCUGAGGACCAGGCAGAAACGUGCAGAUUUUCUGGUCCAAACCCACCCUGCUCUCAGAGCAUUUCUCUCCCCUCCCAUCACUGUAUUUCAUUCUCCUGGGCUUCGUCCUUUGUCUGCUUUGACUUCUCUCUGUCCCUGUCCCUAUUGCUGAGCCUUGUCCUGCACCUUCCCCCCUCUAUCCCCCCCUUUUUCCUCCCCUUCAUCUCUGUCUCUGUUACAACCCAGUCUUUGUCCCCACAUCCCAGAGGCUCUAAAGCUUUACCUGUCCCUGCCCCUGCUGUCACCUCCUCUAUCUCCAUCCAUAUCACCUGUGCUGUCCUUGUCUCCCCCUUUCUGUCUCUCCUAAUUCUAUCUCUCUGUGUCUAUCUCUGGCUUGUCCCUGUUGGUGUUUCAUGGGCUUUCUGACUGGGGGGCCUAUAGAAGUCAUGGGUUUAGCCCUUGUUUCUUAGUCAUUUGGGAGACUUUGAGAGUUGGAGGUUUCAGUGACCUCUAGCAGGGUAAGGAGUCAGGUCCUAGGACUUUGGCUCAGUCCUGCAGGUGCCUUUUCAUUGUCCCCCAUCCCUCCCCACCUCCAGCCACCCCUGGAUGGGACCUGCACGGUCAUCAUUUUUCUCAUACUAACUUCCAACAUGUUUUAUCCCAAGAGAUUGGAUAUAGUUCUCUGUGCUAUGUACCGUAGGACCUCAUUGCUUAUCCAUUCUAAAUGUAAUAGUUUGCUUCUAUUAAAUCCCAAACUUCCAGUCUAUCUCGCUUCCUUCCCCAUCCCCCCUUGAGAACAUAAGUCUGUUCUCUAUGUCUGUUAAUCUGUUUCUGCCCUGUAGACAGGUUCAUCUAUGCCAUAUUUUAGACUCCACGUAUAAGUGACAUCAUAUGAUAUAUGCCUUUCUCUUUCUGACUUACUUCACUUAGUAUGAAAAUCUCUGGUUGCAUCCACGUUGUUGCAAAUGGCAAGAUUUUAUUCUUUUUUAUGGCUGAGUAGUAUUCCAUUGUGUAUAUGUGCCACGUUUUCUUAAUCCAUUCAUCUGUAGAUGGACGUUUAAGUUGUUUCCCUGUCUUGACUAUUAUGAACAGUGCUGCUGUGAAUAUAGAGGUACAUGUAUCUUUUUGAAUUACAGUUUUGUCUGGAUAUAUGCCCAGGAGUGGGAUUAUAUAAUAUCAUAUGAUAGUUCUAUAUUUAGUUUUCUGAGGAAUCUCCAUACUAUUUCCCACAGUGAUUGUACCAAUUUACAUUCCCACCAGCAGUAUGGGGGGGGGUUCCCUUUUCUCCACACCCUCUCUAGCAUUUUUUAUGUGUAGACUUGUCAAUUUAUCCUGUCUAUUUGUCAGACUAAACUUCACUUCCUCCAAAGGAGCACUAGCACAGAACCUGGGUGUCAUGGCAUUUUAUCAAAGGUGUGGGAGGGAUGGAGGGGUGUUAUUAAAUUGCAACCCUGCAUAGCAAACAAGUUUGAAUAUUGGACAUUUCUGGUGUUUGGGGGAGGGAAGUUUCUGUUCAAAAUUUUAAAACCUUUUUCAUUUUGGAACAGUUUUAGACUUGGAAAAAUGCUGCAAUAGUAGUACAAAAUAUUUCCAUGAACCUUUAAUCCAGAUUCCCCAAGUGUUAACAUCAUACACAGCCACAGUACAAUGAUAGAAAUCAGGUAAUUAAUACUGAUCCAGUGUGGUUAUUCAAACCAGAGACCUUAUUUAAAAUUUCCCAAUUGUUCCAUGAUGUCUUCGGUAUGGCCCGGGGCCAAUCCAGGAUCACAUCUUGAAUUUGGUGGUCCCACCUGCAUAGCCUCUUUUAAUUAGUCUCUCUUUGGUGAGCUGUUCUAUAAAAUGUCCCUUGAUUUGGAUUUAUCUGAUGUUUCCUCCUGAUUAAUUCAGUUUAUAUAUUUUUGGCAAGAAUAGCACAAAAGUGACAUUAGGUCCUUCUUGGUUCUUCCUCUCAGGAGGCACAGGGUGUUUAGAUGUCCCAUCGCUACCGAUGUCAACUUUGAUCCCUUGGGUUUACGUGGUGUCUACCUGGCUUCUCUGCUGUAAAGUUAUCAUUUUCCCCUUAUGGCUUAAUAAAUAUUUUUGGGAGGAUAAAUAUCCUUUGGGAGACUGUAAAUAUCCUCCUUCUCAUCAUAUUUUUACCCUCUAGCUUUAGUAUCCACGAAUGAUUCUUAACAAAAAAAUUUUACUAUUACGGUGUUGGUCAAAUGGCGAUUUUAUAUUUCCAUAGUUCCUUCUAUUUUUAUGAGUUGGAAUUUCAUUGAAAGAAAGGGCUUCUCCUGGAAUUACCACUAUGACACAGAGGGUUAAGGAUCGAGUGUUGUCUCUGCAGUGGCUUGGGUUGUUGCUGAAGGUCCGGUUUGAUCCCCAGCCUGGUGCAGCGGGUUAAGGAUCUGGUGUUGCAGCAGCUAUGGUGUAGGUUGCAGC